GACGAACGCUGGCGGCGUGCUUAACACAUGCAAGUCGAACGGUGAAGCGCUUGCCUUUUUGGUGGGUGUGGAUGAGUGGCGAACGGGUGAGUAACACGUGAGUAACCUGCCCUCUUCUUCUGGAUAACCUCAUGAAAGUGGGGCUAAUACGGGGUAUUCCGGGUCUGUCGCAUGGCGGGUUUGGGAAAGAUUGCGCCUUUGGGUGUUUUCGGUGGGGGAUGGGCUCGCGGCCUAUCAGCUUGUUGGUGGGGUGAUGGCCUACCAAGGCGGUGACGGGUAGCCGGACUGAGAGGGUGGACGGCCACACUGGGACUGAGACACGGCCCAGACUCCUGCGGGAGGCAGCAGGGGGGAAUAUUGCGCAAUGGGCGCAAGCCUGAUGCAGCGACGCCGCGUGAGGGAUGGAGGCCUUCGGGUUGUGAACCUCUUUCGCCAGUGAAGCAGGCCUGCUCCUGUGUGGGUGGGUUGACGGUAGCUGGAUAAGAAGCGCCGGCUAACUACGUG
rnacentral:rRNA from 1 species